AGAUGCUUAACCGACAGAGCCACCCGGGCGCCCCUCAAAUCACGUUUGAGAUGAGGUAAACUGAGGCACAGAAGGAGUGACGGAUUUAUCUGUGUCCCCGCGACUUGUUCGAUAGGACCCUGGCUCCCGGGACUCACAUUCCUCUGCUCCCUCCCAUCAUUCACUGACACCCUAAGUACUCAAACCAUCCCCAUUAUCUGGUCACUCGCUGCUGCAAAACCUUCUGUGGACCAGCCAAGCCCCCGCUGGUCUGCACUAUCCCCUGCCCUCAAACCUCCAGUCCCACCGUCACCAACUCCGCUGUCACAGACCAGUCAGACUGCCCAAAGAACACAAGCCACGCUCACAUGUCACCACCUCUGAGAACAUCUUGCCCAUUUCUUUCUGAACAGGUGCUGCCUCUUCCAGGAAGCCUUCCCUGACUGCUCUCAUUGAGUUCUUUCCAGAGCUCUCACGCCCGGCCACAUGAGGUGACUCCGAACAGACCUGCCUGUGCUUCGUCUGCAAAUUGCUUAACCGUAUUAGUCCCUAGAGCAGGGAACACAUCUUCCCACCAGCCCGAUGUACCAGGGCAAAAAGAAAAGACUCAAUAUCCCAAUCCAACAGAACACCAGUGGUGGAGAAGUUACCUCCGCAACAUCAACAUGUUCAGAGAUAGCUAUUUACGAGUUCAACUUUGUAAACAUUCUUACCCCCAACACCGCCAUAUCGCAGGAGUACUGGAUGUCCACCCUGUCCGACUGGCCUCCAAAUGGCACUGUUCCUGUUUCCCUGGACACCCUGACUGCCCCAACCAUCCUUGCCUCUGUAUCACAAAGCUAAUGAUUCUUUUUUUGUUUUUAAUGUUUAUUUAUUUUUGAGAGAGAGAGAAU